rnacentral:rRNA from 1 species
GACGAACGCUGGCGGCGUGCUUAACACAUGCCAGUCGAACGGUGAAGCGCCUUCCUUUUUGGUGGGUGUGGAUGAGUGGCGAACGGGUGAGUAACACGUGAGUAACCUGCCCCCUUCUUCUGGAUAACCGCAUGAAAGUGUGGCUAAUACGGGAUAUUCUGGGUCUGUCGCAUGAUGGGUCUGGGAAAGAUAUUGUUUCGGUGGGGGAUGGGCUCGCGGCCUAUCAGCUUGUUGGUGGGGUGAUGGCCUACCAAGGCGGUGACGGGUAGCCGGCCUGAGAGGGUGGACGGUCACACUGGGACUGAGACACGGCCCAGACUCCUACGGGAGGCAGCAGUGGGGAAUAUUGCACAAUGGGCGCAAGCCUGAUGCAGCGACGCCGCGUGAGGGAUGGAGGCCUUCGGGUUGUGAACCUCUUUCGCCAGUGAAGCAGGCCUGCCUCGUUUGUGGGUGGGUCGACGGUAGCUGGAUAAGAAGCGCCGGCUAACUACGUG